UCAUGGCAAGUGGAGCUGUAGGACCUGUAGGGCCUGGAUUUUCCCGCUCAGGUCGCUAUCCAACGCCAGGAACUGUGUAUCAACCCGGUCAUACUGAAAUGGGUAGGUUCGCUACUCCUGGUUAUCAGCGGUUGGCAAUUCCAAGGCCUCCUGUACCAAUGCAAGGCCAUCGUUGGCCAACUCAGCAACAAUUUGGGGGCCCUAAACCUGGCCAUUACCCGGUGCCUGCUCCUCGAAUGGUAGAUAUGCAUACUCCUCGUCCACCUCGACCUCCUGAUGGGCCUCUUCUUCCAUUUCAAAGAUUCAGUCGAAAA